CCUACGGGAGGCUGCAGUGGGGAAUAUUGGACAAUGGGCGCAAGCCUGAUCCAGCCAUGCCGCGUGAGUGAUGAAGGCCCUAGGGUUGUAAAGCUCUUUUGUGCGGGAAGAUAAUGACGGUACCGCAAGAAUAAGCCCCGGCUAACUUCGUGCCAGCAGCCGCGGUAAUACGAAGGGGGCUAGCGUUGCUCGGAAUCACUGGGCGUAAAGGGUGCGUAGGCGGGUCUUUAAGUCAGAGGUGAAAGCCUGGAGCUCAACUCCAGAACUGCCUUUGAUACUGAGGAUCUUGAGUUCGGGAGAGGUGAGUGGAACUGCGAGUGUAGAGGUGAAAUUCGUAGAUAUUCGCAAGAACACCAGUGGCGAAGGCGGCUCACUGGCCCGAUACUGACGCUGAGGCACGAAAGCGUGGGGAGCAAACAGGAUUAGAUACCCCUGUAGUC
rnacentral:rRNA from 1 species